UCCUUUUUAAUUAUUUAAUUAUACAUUUAACACAAUAUUUAUAUUUAUUUUAGAUAUUUGUUUUGAAAGGAGUAACCAGUGAAUCAGAACUAAAGAAGAUACAGAGUUUCAACUAUUUAUCACAUAACCAGGAAAGAGGAAAGCAUUAAUAUAUAUAUAUAUUUAUUUAUAUAAAUACAUAUCAAUAUUAUAUAUGUGUAUGGAUAUGCGAAUGGUAUUUUCAAUUAAUUGAAAAUAAAAAAAAAAGGUUAUGCUUUCUUGAAGAAAUUUAUUAACACAAAGCAUGUUUUCUUUAAAAAUAAGUACUAUCUUGAAAUCAAAAAGUUUUAUAGGUUAUAUAGAUAAUUACUGUAAUUACAUUAAACAAGAAAAACAAUGUUUAUGGAUGUUGCAAAACUAUAAUCACAGUGGCUGUACAAAUAUUGAUAAAAAUUACUAUUUAUGUUAUAAAAUGAAACAAUUUAAUACAAGUGAUAUAAAUCUUUUGCAUUUUACAAAUUGUAAUAGAAAGUUUUGUACCAAUCCUUUGCCAAAGGAUGGUGAUGUUUUUGGAAACAUUUCACAUGAAAAAUAUGAAAAAGUUCCAAUGGAUGAAGAUGAGGAAAAAGAAGAAAAUUUUUCAAAACGUACUAAAAUUCCUAUAAUAGAAAGAUUAAGUUACACAGAUUAUUGUAAGCUUAUUAAAUCAUAUAUAGAUUCAAAGAAUGUAAAUGCAGCAUUAAAUGUAUUAGAUUUAAUGAAAGAAAAUGGUGAUAAGCCAAAUGUCUUCAUAUAUAGACUUUUACUUUCUGCAUUUGCGUUACAAGGAGAUGUAAAUCAAUGUUUUAAAUUAUUUAAGAAAAUAAGAGACAGUGGUUUAGUUCCUUCAGCAAGGGUAUAUACUUCUUUAAUUCAAGCUUGUGCUAACACAACUGAUUCAAACAUUGCGGUAGAACGUUUGGACUAUUUAAGAAGAUACUUUCUUGAGAGAAAAUUAAUGUUAAAUGUAGUGCAUUACUGUGCUCUUAUCAAAGCUUAUGGUCGGCAUAACAAAGUUUUAACUGCCUUUCAAAUAGCAGAUGAAGCAAGGGAUAAUGGUAUCAUUUCAAAUAGUAUAGCCACUUAUUUGUUUCACGCAACAAUUGGUGACAAGGAAUCUGGAUUAAAAUAUGCUUUGGGUUUGUGGCACAAAAUGAAGAAAGAUAAAAUGAAAUUUAACAUAUUACAUUAUAAUCUCCUUUUGAGAGCAAUUAGAGAUACAAAGUUUGGGGAUUUGAAAGUAAAUGAUACUUUAGUAUUAGAAUCACCCGAAACUCAAAUUCAAUUUAAGAAUGUAGAAAGAUCAGAUUUAUUAGAUUCUCCACCAGUGUUGAGUACUUCGCUCCUUAAAAUGCUUACAGAAUCUAAACAUAUUGUGGCAAAUGCUGAUACUUCAGAAAUAGAUGUAGUUAAUAAUAACAAGUUAUUGUUACAAAAUCUGGACGACGCGUUGCAUUCAAAACGAUUAAUUUUAUUUGGUGGAGUUGAAAAAUUUAUAAAUGGAAUGAAAAUUCGUGGUGUAUACCCUGAUACAAAAACAAUCACAUUACUUUUAGAUUUACUUCCGCCCACAAUAACGGCAGAAGACUAUUUUCUUAAGUACCUAAAAAAUAAUAAUAUAAAUGUAGAUAUUACAUUUUUUAACAUGCUUAUUAAAAGGAGAUGUUUAAGAAGAAAUUAUAUGGAUGCCAAAGCUAUUCUUAAUACGAUACAAAGUUAUCAUUUUACAGCCAAUAUCAUAACAUUUGGAGUAUUGGCUAUUGGAUGUAGAAAGCUUGAAGAUGGAAAAGAACUUUUAGAACAAAUGGAUAAUAUUGGUUUUGCACCGAAUUAUACAAUUUUAGAAACAUUGUUACACAAUGCGUGUGCUAAUAAAAGGUUUUCUUAUGUAUUAUAUUUGAUGAAGCACAUAUUGGCAACUGAAAUUAAACCAUCAAAAAAUAUGUUACAAUUUUUAAAAAAUUUUGAUGAAAUGAUAUUAAAAGAAAUAGAAAAUAAGCAUAACUACACUAAUAAAAGAAUAUAUUUCACCGAAGCAGAUUAUAACCAAUUUAAAAUAUAUUACGAAAAUUGGAAAGAAAAGCUAGGAAUAAAUACAGAUUAUUGAAAUGCUCAAACAGGUUUCAUUAACUUAUAGUCUGAUUUUAUUUUAAUUUAAACUGUAUAGAGUUGGAACUUUGAUAACUCGUAUUUGUAAAACAAAACAAAAUAAAAUAAUACAUUUACAAAUACGAUAUGGAUUAGUAGCUUCAGUUGUUUCUAAACCUAUGAAAAAUACAGAAAAAUUUGGACUUUUAUAACAUAUACACAUCAAGAAAUUUUGUACUGCGAUAGUACACCAAUUAAGUCGAUUACUAAUAAUAAUAAUAAUAAUAAUAAUAAUAAUAAUAAUAUGAUAUAAUUCUAAUAAG